rnacentral:lncRNA from 1 species
AGCAUUUUGCAUGUUCUGACUGUUGGUUCGCGCUCACCCUUAACACUGAGUGAAUGAACUGAGGUGGCAUACUGGGGAUGCGGACUGUGCCCAGCCAGGACUGACCUCUUCAGGCCUCCGAUUCUGGCUCAGAGCAGCAGAGACCAAUUUCAUCAAGACCUUCCUCUGGACAAAGGCUCACUCGACCCAACCCAGCCUGCGUGGCCCGCCCAGACCGUGAAGGGACAGUCCUCCCAGCUGCUUCUGGCCCCUACUCAGGGGGGCACAUCCUCCACGCCCACCUACCCCCACAUGCCACAAGGGUUCUCAUCAGAGUCCUGCCCUCAACCAUAAUGAAUGGAGGAAUGAACACGGCCGAGGUCCUGGAUUCUUGCUCGGCCUCAUCUCUGCCUGUGUGUCAUUUCUGCAAUGGGUGCAGCUUCUACAGAGAGAAGGUCGUGGGCCAGAGGCGGAGCCCCAUCCCCAUCCAGAUCCCCAGAGGGACCUCAGAAUUGUUGGUGUUUCCACGGGCCGCCUCCGGGACAAUGACUUUUGCUCAGCUGGUCCCAUGAAGCAUCCCCUCCAAUCUCCGUGAUGUCUGUUUCAAACUACAAAAUGCUGGACUUGGCUGGCCCCCCUUCUAUUUACCAAGAAAGUUCGAGCAGAUGGCAUUCCGCGCAUCUCUACCAAACCUAGAUUCUUGCUCUUCGCAGAUAUUCACAGAAGCUGAAAAACUCUCCCAAGCUCUGCUUGUUUCGGGGGGCCUCAUUCAAAGCCCAUCUUCCUUCCUCCAAGCCAGACUGGGAUUCCAGCAUCGGGAUCCCACUUUCCCCUGCUUCUUCAGUUGUGGAAAGGCUGGAGGACAUCCUCUGAAAUGCUCCCAGCCUUUGGCAAGAGAAGGAAGGAGGCCCAAACCAGUCCCUGACCCACAGGGAGACGCCACUCAUCUUCUCAACGAAGAACUUGGAAUUGAUGGUGUUGACAUGAGGUCCUACAGGACACUGCCCUCUGCCCACUUGGGCUCCCAGCCAUGCCCAGAAGGCUCCAUGAAGUCAGCUGCAAAACAGUCAACAAUCACAUGUACCCACCCCUAAACACUGAGACCCUAAAGUGACUCUUGUAAUCCAAGAGAUGAGUUUUGGCCCCAAUCUUGGCCAAUAUCCUUCGACUUUCCCCUGAGUCCCCUGAACAGACUUCGAUGAGGCCUUUCUCUUGAUCAGGGCUCCCCAGAUCCUCACAACCUCCAGGACCCUCCAUUUGAAAGCGGAGCCUAUUGUCCUGGUUCUCUCCCCUCUUGAUUGUUACAUAGGGUGGGGACUUGUUCGGACACCUCUGGAAACACAAACAUAAUCAGGUAAUUGUCCUCACAUAACAUUUACACUAAUUUUCUCUCCUAUCUUUAGUGUAAUUUCUCUAAAACAUUUCAAGAAAGACUAUACCUUCAGUGAAUGGAUUUUGCAAAGACUGUUAGAGGUCUACCCUGUAAUUCUUCUUCAAGUACAACCAUUCCCACCUUCAUAAAGGGAAGAUUAGAACCCUGUAAUGUUUCGGUGCUGUACUUUUAGAAGGAAAGUGCCCAUUUUGGAUUUGGGACAUCAUUGUUCUGGAAUAAUGAGAUGGUGGUCCACCCCUCUCAUGCCUGCAGUUCACUAUCUUAUGCCAUUAACGAGGAGACUGCCAUUUUCUGCUCCUGGUGUGUAGGUGGGGGACUACUUGUUAAUGGUUUCUGUGGGAAAGGCAUGAGUAGGGAAGGCUACUAAGUGACUGUGGAAAGUAGGGAGUUCAUGGACUGAGAAUGGAAGAUGUGAGGACGUGAUUGUCUGUGUGGGAUGUCUGAUCUCUCUAUAGAUCCGGUGCAAUUUGGGGCAGGACUCUGUGUGGACAGGGAUGCCUCUACAGUAAUCCAAGGGCCAGAAACCUACUGGCCAUUCUCCAGGAAUACGAGCUUUUCCCACAAGACCAAUGGAACGUGAGGAUUUCUUCUGUCUUUUUUGAAUAUUUUGUGUCUUGUAAACAGACUGGGUUAUAGACAAUGGCAUCAGCUCACAGUGUGUUUUCAUCUAUGCCUAGAAUCAGGACUAGAACAAGACACCCUAAACCAAUGCCAGUGCGACUUUUGGGGUGAAUGAUCGAACGACUAAUAAAAUAAAGUCAUCUUCCCUAAACA